UAAUGAUGCCCUAAGCAGGCAGGACAUUCGAACGGUCUCAUUGCCGUGAAAGGAUGUGAGAAGAGAAGUGGAAUCUAACGCCCGCUGUUUACCAAGAGCUGAAAGGAGACUAAAUAACAGUGCUAACACUAACCAGCUGACACUUUCCUGGCAUGGAUGAGCAACAGAGAGAAAUCCAGAUGCAGAUACCCUGUCAGGGGAGGACGGAAUGAGAUCCAGGUUUUCUAAGAACACCUCCAACAAUGGAUCAUGGUGAUUUAAGGAACUCAUGAGUAUAAUCCUAUUGCCGUCUUCCAAGAAGUCAGAUAAAGCUAAAUCUCCAGAGAGACGUGUGUGUGUGAGAGAUGGAAGCUGAUGGGUGUAUCUGCUGCUUUUAUUCAAACAACAUUAUGACUUGGAGAAGUUGUGUGCUUUUUAAAGCAAAUAUAGAUAUAUAGUAUGUGGCUUGAGAUUGAUAUUUUUUAGUGCUAUUUGUACGGAUAGAGGGAUCUUUCAUGGUCACUGUGGAUAAGCGUAUCAACCAAACACUAUAAAUGUAAAUGCAAAUAUGCAUUUAAAAAGAACAAAACAUAUGUAUGAACCCAUUUUUCCUUGGCUGGAACUUGCUGCAAUUUCUUUCAAUGUCAUUUUUCAAUGUAGCAGCAUGUCAUAAAAGGGGUCUUCAUCUUUCCGUCACGUUUUCUCAUCACUCCUCUGAAAAUUACUUGCUUGGGAAAGCUACUUCAAUAUGCUGUCCAACCAAUUCUCUCUCUCUCUCUCUCUCUCUCUCUCUCUCUCCAUCCAUCUCGUUUUCCUACCAUCUUGCCCUCCCAUCCCCUCUCGUUCUGCUGCUUAUCACCACUUCCUUUCAUCUGCACAUCACCAUCCCUCGUGUCAGUAAUCCUGCAGGGUGUUAAAUAGAGGACACGUCACGCCUCAACACCACCGACCAGGACUGGCAGCUCUGCUACACACACACACACACAUAUACACACACAUAUACACACAGAGAAUGUGCAUAUUCACACAUAAAUGCACACAUAUUCGAGCAUGCUUGCACACACAGCACACAUGCAAAUAUAGCUUAUCUCUGAAGACCUGCAACUUGGCAGUGUUUGGCUAGGUAGCAGUUGGUGUUCUGUGAAUAAAUCUUGACACCUCUCCAAAUUUUGAAAUUAAUUUGAGCGGGUUUAUCACAUUUAAUCGUUUAUGCAGUUCUAUCUCUGCCAUAAAAUGAUGAGCAACUUUAAACACUUAUGUAACUAUGAAAAGUAGAAAAGUAUGUAAUGAAGGUAUUAUUAUUAUUAUUAUUAUUAUUAUUAUUA